rnacentral:rRNA from 1 species
UUUUUCUGCUCAAUGAUUUUUUAAAUUGCUGUGGUAUUUUGACUAUACAAAGGUAUUGAAAUAAGAUUUUAAUUGAAUGCUAAGAGAAUGGAAGUCCAGAAAAAAACUUUUUUUAAAUUAAAAAUUGAAGUUUUUUUAAUUUGUGCAGAAACAAUUAUUUAUAUUAAAGACAAGAAGACCCUAUGAAUUUAUUAAAUUUUUAUUUAAUAUGUAAUUACUAUUAGAAAAAUUUUGGCUGGGGCGGCUAGAAAAUAUUAUGAACUUUUUAAAAAUAAAAUGAUCCAUUAUUAAUGAUUUUAUGUUAAAUACUCUACGGAUAACAACGUAACAAUUU